rnacentral:piRNA from 1 species
AACACUGAGAGCAAUGGGAGAUGC